UUUCCGUAGGUGAACCUGCGGAAGGAUCAUUAUUGUAUAACCGAGGUGCGAGGGCUGUCGCUGACCCGAAAGGUCGUGCACGCCCAAGUGGCCUUACACACAUCCAUCUCACCCCUAUGUGCACCUCCGCGUGGGUCCCCCUUUGGCUUGUUCGGAGGGGGGCGUACGUUUUCACACAAACUUUGUAUGCAGUGUAGAAUGUAUUUUUUGUUUUUGCGAUCACGCAAUCAAUACAACUUUCAACAACGGAUCUCUUGGCUCUC
rnacentral:misc_RNA from 1 species